GAAAAGCACUGCUUUACUCUGCCAAAGUGACCAUGAGAAAUGCAAUACUGGUGGCAAGCAAGGAGAGCUUGAAACAUAACAAAUCAUUUCAGAAUAGGAAAAUAUACAAGCAAUACACCACUGCAAGUAUCUGCACGCUCUGUUAAUGGUGGAUCAAUAGGUCUGAUAGGAACAUUGCUCAUCAUAAACCGCAUCAGUCACCUUCAGUGUUUUUUUCACAGGUCUUUCUGUGUAUAAUGCCAGGUUUUGGUGCACGUCAUCCUGUUCAAAGUCAUUGGCCAUAGCAUUGGACCUUCUCCAUGGAACGUUUUUCUUUAAACGUGGCAUGAAGCACAUUCAAGGCAAUACCAGAUCAUACCGCGCUGAGCGCUUUAUUACUAGAGACUUUUGGACAGAAACGUGUAAUCUAGAUUCUCUGAAUCAAUAGGCAGAUGGUAACUACUUUGCUUUUCAGUAUUUUUUCAACUGGUACACCAGAUUUAAAUAACUUGCUUCCACACAUCUGAAGAAGAAAUACUGAUAUAACUAAGCUUACCUUUGAGACAUUUACAAAUAUUUGAUUGUUUUUUUUCCCCCUGCUAUCCCUCUGUUCCAUCUUCUGCCCCCAACAAGGAACUUUAACAUUCUCUUCUGUUGAAGUAAAUAACCUUUCAUGCUACGCAGACUCUCCUGAGCAAGGAUGGGGGAUUAUUUCACUCCACCACUGAGACACACAGGGUUGCCUAGGUGAAAAGCCAGCUCUCACAUCUUCCCUCCAUACGCUUUGUUGCUGCUCUUAUCACUGAGAUAUGAGAUCGUUGUGACUUCAGGCUGGUUGGAGACUUUUAUUUUUGUUUACAAUUUGGUUCACUGAAACAACGACUGUUAGCUGCAUCCAGCUCUUAAUUUGACUUCAUGUUUUAUUAGCCGUUAUUUUCGCAAAGAUCUUAAUUCCCCUCUAAAACAUUUUAAUUAAAACAAUUAAAAGCUGUUUCUGAGUGCUGCACUUCAUGAGCAGAUUUUGCAAGAACUUCAAAGAGACACAGAUGUUUAUGGAGUUUGGUGUGGUGAUAUUUGAGGCUGCCCACUGGCAAAGAAAGGAUUCAUAAACAUCUUUAAGAAACUUUGCUGUGGAAAUGACAACAUUUCCUUCUUGUAUUUUAGCAAGUCUAAUAUUUCCCAGUCUUAACAGGCGUAUUUCAUAGACGGAGAUGUAAGCAUUGUUGUCUGCUCACGUUCUGAGCCACAUCAGACUUGCACAUGGUGUAGAAUUUUAUUCAUGGUGGUACC
rnacentral:lncRNA from 7 species